CCUACGGGAGGCAGCAGUGGGGAAUUUUGGACAAUGGGCGAAAGCCUGAUCCAGCAAUGCCGCGUGCAGGAUGAAGGCCUUCGGGUUGUAAACUGCUUUUGUACGGAACGAAGCGGUUCUUUCUAAUAAAGAGAGCUAAUGACGGUACCGUAAGAAUAAGCACCGGCUAACUACGUGCCAGCAGCCGCGGUAAUACGUAGGGUGCAAGCGUUAAUCGGAAUUACUGGGCGUAAAGCGUGCGCAGGCGGUUAUGUAAGACAGUUGUGAAAUCCCCGGGCUCAACCUGGGAAUUGCAUCUGUGACUGCAUAGCUAGAGUACGGUAGAGGGGGAUGGAAUUCCGCGUGUAGCAGUGAAAUGCGUAGAUAUGCGGAGGAACACCGAUGGCGAAGGCAAUCCCCUGGACCUGUACUGACGCUCAUGCACGAAAGCGUGGGGAGCAAACAGGAUUAGAUACCCUGGUAGUCCACGCCCUAAACGAUGUCAACUGGUUGUUGGGUCUUCACUGACUCAGUAACGAAGCUAACGCGUGAAGUUGACCGCCUGGGGAGUACGGCCGCAAGGUUGAAACUUAAAGUGAAUUGACGG
rnacentral:rRNA from 1 species